rnacentral:rRNA from 1 species
AAACUUUCAACAACGGAUCUCUUGGUUCCGGCAUCGAUGAAGAACGCAGCGAAAUGCGAUAAGUAAUGUGAAUUGCAAAAUUCAGUGAAUCAUCGAGUCUUUGAACGCACAUUGCGCCCCCUGGUAUUCCGGGGGGCAUGCCUGUCCGAGCGUCAUU